AACGAACGCUGGCGGCAUGCCUAACACAUGCAAGUCGAACGAGACCUUCGGGUCUAGUGGCGCACGGGUGCGUAACGCGUGGGAACCUGCCCUUAGGUUCGGAAUAACUCCCCGAAAGGGGUGCUAAUACCGGAUAAUGUCUUCGGACCAAAGAUUUAUCGCCUUUGGAUGGGCCCGCGGUGGAUUAGCUAGUUGGUAGGGUAAAAGCCUACCAAGGCGACGAUCCAUAGCUGGUCUGAGAGGAUGAUCAGCCACACUGGGACUGAGACACGGCCCAGACUCCUACGGGAGGCAGCAGUGGGGAAUAUUGGACAAUGGGCGAAAGCCUGAUCCAGCAAUGCCGCGUGAGUGAUGAAGGCCUUAGGGUUGUAAAGCUCUUUUACCCGGGAUGAUAAUGACAGUACCGGGAGAAUAAGCGCCGGCUAACUCCGUG
rnacentral:rRNA from 1 species